AACAAAUGAAAUUCAUUUAUUCACCAUGAAUGGGAUAUCGUGGAUGGAGUGGGUGGUGGGUUGAAUUUUUUAAAUUAUCAUUUUUUGCAACGUUGUGGCUAAAAGAAAUGAAAAAAAAAAUUAUUGCUUACAAUAAAUUCAUUCGCACGAUUAAAAAUGGUCUAUGACCUGUAAUGAUGAUGACAAUGAAAUUAACAUUGUGAACACACACACACACACAGGAAAAUUGUAAAAAAAACAAUUUUUUCGUAGAAGUAAUUUUGGAUUAUCCUACCGUAUCAUCAUUAUAUAAUGAUUGCUAUGAAACUAUAAUGAUACACUGGAAUCAAAAAUUCAAAACCAGACAACGAAAAAAAAUCUGUGUUCAAAAGGGGUCAUCCAUCCAUUUCAUUCAUCAAUCAAAAUUUUACCAAGAAUUUUUUUUCAAUCAAGAAUAGACAACACUUUCUAGCAUAUUUUCAUUAAAAAACCAGAUUGAAUUACAAUUGAAAAAUUGAUUGCGCCAGCUGCACAUCAUGAAUUUACGCUCUCAUCGUCGUCAUCAACAUGAAAUUAAAUUUCGCAUUUGAAAAAAUUAUACAUUGUUACUAAAUGAAAGCCCGACAGACAGAAAAUCUAAACAAUUUAAACAUCCAUCUAUCAAUGGUAAAGAGAUGAUAACAAUUUUUCAGCCAAUCUUGAAUGAUCAAAAUCAACAAAGACGACAACUUGAUUUCGAUGUAAUGAGCUAUAGCAACAGUCAAUUUAGCCAAUAGCAAUUUUGGGGUGUAAACUUUGUUCGUGAAAAAAAGGGCGGCCGUUUUUGUUCGAGGAUAUUCGAGGUUUUCGGGUUUGAGAUACAAAAAAUAAAAAAUUAACACAAAAUUUUAAUGUUCAAUUUUUUUCUUCUAUCUAGAAUUCUUGUUUCUUGGGAAAGAAAAAAUUUCAAUAUCAAAAUUGUAUUCAAAAAAAAAAAUGUUCCAAGAUUUAGACAGACUGUGUUCAAACGAAAAACUUUCACUCUUCAAUUCUAACACACUAUCAACGAGUAAAUAUAUACGCUGAAUAUGACGAAAUCUAAAUUGAACAUCAUCAUCAUCAUAUCCCGUCGACGACAAACGAACAACGUCGACGAUGUUUGGAUCAUUUAGCCAUAUACAAAACCAUUAUUUCUCUCUUUUUGUUUUGAUGCUUAUAUCUCUCAUAUACUUCAAUCGCUAAAAUCACACAAUUCAUCCAAAAAAAAACGAAGCAAUUUUUCUCUAUACACAUUUUAUACCAUGUCAGUUUGUCGUUACGUCGCUGAUGACGACAACGAUGAUGGUGAUGAUCAACAUUUAUUACUGGUUUCGAAAAUGUGAAUGGUAAUGAUUUUGUCUCGAAUACAUGUGUAGAAAAUGCUAGAAUAAAGCUUGUAGAAUGAUAAAAAAAAGACAAGUUUACACAUAUAUAGCAAUUAUGAUUAGAAAAAAAGGGUGGUAACCUUUUUGAUAUAUCUCGAAAGAAAUCUUAUGAAGCAACCGAAAACUCCAACCAUCAUCAUCAUCAUUUCUAUUGCUACCACCAUCAGAAAAAACGACCAUAAAAUCCAUAUCACAUUCUCAUUUUAUUUCACAAUCAACGUUUUUUUCUUUUCUUCUUAUCUUCAUAAAUGCUUUUUGGCCAUUUGGAAAGCCGCAGUCGCAGCUAUAUUCCACAUAAACAACAACAUAUAUACAAAGACCAUGUGCCACAAAGUCAUCUUCAAAGGAUAAUAUUCAUAUACCUAACCAUGACCACACCAUUUAUUCAACGGCGUCGAAUCCAAUGACGCCAAAAUGAAAAAAAAGAAAGAAAAAAAAUCAGAGAAAAAUAGUAGCCCACAAUUGGCUGCCUUUACACACACACACACACACUACAUGUAUCCUGUAAAUUAUAUUUGAGAAUCGUCUAUUUGUGAAGCUCACAGCAACACUAUACCCAAUUUUGUUUGUAUUUAUAUUUAGAACAUCACCAUUAACACAGACACAACGAAUUGAAUUGAAUUGUGAAUGAAAAUUAAUCAAGAGAAAAAGAA